rnacentral:rRNA from 1 species
UACGUAGGGCGCAAGCGUUAUCCGGAAUUAUUGGGCGUAAAGAGCUCGUAGGUGGUUUGUCGCGUUGUUCGUGAAAACUCACAGCUCAACUGUGGGCGUGCGGGCGAUACGGGCAGACUAGAGUACUGCAGGGGAGACUGGAAUUCCUGGUGUAGCGGUGGAAUGCGCAGAUAUCAGGAGGAACACCGGUGGCGAAGGCGGGUCUCUGGGCAGUAACUGACGCUGGAGACGCGAAAGCCGUGGGGAGCGAACAGG